rnacentral:rRNA from 1 species
UACAGAGGUCCCGAGCGUUAGGCGGAAUCACUGGGCUUAAAGCGUGUGUAGGCGGACUUCUAAGUACCUUGUGAAAUCCCACGGCUCACCCGUGGAACUGCUCGGUAUACUGGUCGUCUUGAGCCUUCUAGGGGCGAGUGGAACAAAUGGUGGAGCGGUGAAAUGCGUAGAUAUCAUUUGGAACGCCAAUGGUGAAAACAACUCGCUGGGGAAGUGCUGACGCUGAGACACGAAAGCCAGGGGAGCGAACGGG